rnacentral:misc_RNA from 1 species
GGCUCAUUGGCCUGUCAGUCUUUGCCUUUGCAACAACCUUUAUACUACUCAUGAUGGAGACUCUCAGUGCAUUCCUUCAUGCAUUGCGUCUUCAUUGGGUAGAAUUUCAAAACAAAUUCUACCAUGGCGAUGGCUAUAAGUUCAACCCAUUUUCUUUUGCUUCAUUAGCAGACGACGAUGAUUAGUACAUAACCCUUUUCUUCUCCUCCUUUCUGAGGAAUUCUGCAGACAAGAAGAGUUACUACCAUAUAACAGGAAAAAAAAGCCUGUCACAGAGGAUUUUGAAAAAGGACACAAUUUUGGCUGACUACUAUUGCUCACUUUCUUUUGAUGAAGCAGCUGGUUUUAGCAUAGAGUUGUAAAGUUGUGGCACACAUAAUAUUUCACCUUAUAGUUAGCUAUUUAAAGAAGAGAUUUGUAAAUUUUUUCUUCAUAGAUUAUUUUACAUAUUUUCCCAAACACAUAAAUGAGUCAAUUAUUUGUAAAGAGGGAAAUCAUUAUAGUAGCAUUUAUCUAAAGUGUGUCAUUCUUUUGUGGAGGCAAAUUUAC